rnacentral:rRNA from 1 species
GAUGAACGCUGGCGGCGUGCCUAAUACAUGCAAGUCGAGCGAAUGGAUUGAGAGCUUGCUCUUAUGAAGUUAGCGGCGGACGGGUGAGUAACACGUGGGUAACCUGCCCAUAAGACUGGGAUAACUCCGGGAAACCGGGGCUAAUACCGGAUAACAUUUUGAACCGCAUGGUUCGAAAUUGAAAGGCGGCUUCGGCUGUCACUUAUGGAUGGACCCGCGUCGCAUUAGCUAGUUGGUGAGGUAACGGCUCACCAAGGCAACGAUGCGUAGCCGACCUGAGAGGGUGAGCGGGCAAACUGGGACUGAGACACGGCCCAGACGCCUACGGGAGGCAGCAGUAGGGAAUCGUCCGCAAUGGACGAAAGUCUGACGGAGCAACGCCGCGUGAGUGAUGAAGGCUUUCGGGUCGUAAAACUCUGUUGUUAGGGAAGAACAAGUGCUAGUUGAAUAAGCUGGCACCUUGACGGUACCUAACCAGAAAGCCACGGCUAACUACGUGCCAGCCGCCGCGGUAA